GCUGGGAUGAUGAAAUCGGUAGACAUACCUGACUUAAAAUCAGGAGGCGGACAUUCCGUCGUGCGGGUUCGAGUCCCGCUCCCAGCACCU
rnacentral:tRNA from 1 species